rnacentral:rRNA from 1 species
UACGUAGGGUGCAAGCGUUGUCCGGAAUUAUUGGGCGUAAAGAGCGUGUAGGCGGCCCGAUAAGUCCGCCGUGAAAGUCCAGGGCUCAACCCUGGAAUGCCGGUGGAAACUGUCGGGCUGGAGUCCGGAAGAGGCGAGUGGAAUUCCUGGUGUAGCGGUGAAAUGCGCAGAUAUCAGGAGGAACACCGGUGGCGAAGGCGGAUCUCUGGGCCGUAACUGACGCUGAGGAGCGAAAGCAUGGGGAGCGAACAGG